GCUUGCUUUUACAAAGCAUAUACUAAAAUUGCAAUGAUACAGAGAAGAUUAGCAUUGCCUCUUCCUAAGGAUAAAAGAGAAAUUCAUGAAGCAUUCUAUAUUUUU